rnacentral:rRNA from 1 species
UACGAAGGGUGCAAGCGUUACUCGGAAUUACUGGGCGUAAAGCGUGCGCAGGCGGUUUUGUAAGCCAGAUGUGAAAGCCCCGGGCUUAACCUGGGAAUGGCAUUUGGGACUGCAAGGCUUGAGUGCGGCAGAGGAGACUGGAAUUCCUGGUGUAGCAGUGAAAUGCGUAGAUAUCAGGAGGAAUACCGAUGGCGAAGGCAGGUCUCUGGGCUGACACUAACGCUCAUGCACGAAAGCGUGGGGAGCAAACAGG